rnacentral:rRNA from 1 species
UACGAGAGGGGCAAGCGUUAUCCGGAAUAAUUGGGCGUAAAGGGUCCGUAGGCGGUAAUUUGUUUGCUUUUAGUAAAAGACAAAAGCUUAACUUUUGAAAUGCUUUAAGAACAGUUUUACUAGAGUUUAGUAGAGGAUAGUAGAAUUCCAUGUGGAGGGGUGGAAUCCUGAAAUAUAUGGAGGAAUGCCAAUAGCGAAAGCAACUAUCUGGACUAUAACUGACGUUGAGGGACGAAAGCGUAGGUAGCAAACAGGAUUAGAUACCCUGGUAGUCUACGCUGUCAAUGCUGGGUGCUAAUAUUUAGAAAUAUUUUUUAGAUAUUAAGUUAACACGUUAAGCACUCCGCCUGAGGAGUACGGCCGCAAGGCUAAA